GUUUUUGAAAAGCAAAAGAAAAUCUGAAUAUCAAAAUACAUAUUAUUUUCCUGGCGUUUAUUGUCAAGAAAGAAGAUCUCGUUGAGGGAAGGAGCAUUGUGGGCGAAUUGUCGAACGACGAUAACUCUAACGAAAUUUUAGAAAGCAAAAGAGAUGGAUUGGUGAUUUUGAGUAAGGAAGACCUUGCAAGAAUUCGGAAAGCGAAGUUAAAGAAAGCAAAUGGUGCCCUGACGUAUGCUCGGGGGAAAGAACGUGAUUAUUGGAACUAAACUUUCUACGAUUAUAAAGCUAAACAAACGACUAUGCAGCUAUAAAUAUGGAUAUAAAAAUAUUGUUGAAAAAAGUUCCUUAAACAACCGUCGUUGUAAUUAAUAUGUAGAACAUAUUUGUAGUCAUUUAAAUAAAGUGGUGUCACAGUUGA